AUUUAUUGCAGGAAAACAAGAGCUUGUUCAGAAGGUCCAACUAAGGCACUUCCCAACAGAGCUGUGUGAAAAGGCUGAGAAAUGCUGCAAUGGAAACAUGCACCUCCGAAGAUCAAACCCACCCUUCAGGAAGGCUGUUACCAACUUCUGGGAGUGCAGGGGAAUAUGCCUUUCCCUAAACUUCAUUAUAGAGUUUCCAGCACUGAGUUGUAUAAAGACCCUUCUCUUCUCCUCACUGAAGCAUUUAGAAGUGCACAGAAUUGUACUCAUUGUAAAAACUAAAUGGAAGGCUGCAGCCCUCAAAAGGCAAGAUAUGAUUUGUGCAGAGAAACUGCUUGUGUUUUGUUGAAGACUGGUUUUAAACCAGUUUCAUUAAAAUGAGGUUCUUGU
rnacentral:lncRNA from 14 species